rnacentral:rRNA from 1 species
GACGAACGCUGGCGGCGUGCUUAACACAUGCAAGUCGAAAGAAGUGGCGAACGGGUGAGUAACGCGUAAUAAACCUGCCCUUCAGAGGGGGAAAACAGGUGGAAACGACUGCUAAUACCGCAUACUGAAGGAGGGGAUUGCGUCUGAUUGGCUAGUUGGAGGGGUAACGGCCCACGAAGGCGAUGAUCAGUAGCCGGUUGGAGAGGAUGAACGGCCACAUUGGGACUGCGACACGGCCCAGACUCCUACGGGAGGCAGCAGUGGGGAAUCUUCCGCAAUGGACGAAAGUCUGACGGAGCAACGCCGCGUGAGUGAUGACGGCCUUCGGGUUGUAAAGCUCUGUUGAUCGGGACGCGGUACCGGAAUAGAAAGCCACGGCUAACUACGUGCCAGCAGCCGCGGUAAUAC